rnacentral:rRNA from 1 species
AUUGAACGCUGGCGGCAGGCCUAACACAUGCAAGUCGAACGGUAACAGGAAGCAGCUUGCUGCUUCGCUGACGAGUGGCGGGCGGGUGAGUAAUGUCUGGGAAGCUGCCUGAUGGAGGGGGAUAACUACUGGAAACGGUAGCUAAUACCGCAUAAUGUCGCAAGACCAAAGAGGGGGACCUUCUGGCCUCUUGCCAUCGUAUGUGCCCAGAUGGGAUUAGCUUGUUGGUGGGGUAACGGCUCACCAAGGCGACGAUCCCUAGCUGGUCUGAGAGGAUGAUCAGCCACACUGGGACUGAGACACGGUCCAGACUCCUACGGGAGGCAGCAGUGGGGAAUAUUGGACAAUGGGCGCAAGCCUGAUGCAGCCAUGCCGCGUGUAUGAAGAAGGCCUUCGGGUUGUAAAGUACUUUCAGCGGGGAGGAAGGGAGUAAAGUUAAUACCUUGGCUCAUUGACGUUACCCGCAGAAGAAGCACCGGCUAACUCCGUG